rnacentral:tRNA from 1 species
GCCGAAGUGGCGGAACGGCAGACGCCGGGGACUUAAAAUCCCCUGCCGGAACGGGCGUGCGGGUUCGAGUCCCGCCUUCGGCACCA